rnacentral:tmRNA from 1 species
GGGGCUGAUUCUGGAUUCGACGGGAUUUGCGAAACCCAAGGUGCAUGCCGAGGGGCGGUUGGCCUCGUAAAAAGCCGCAAAAAAAUAGUCGCAAACGACGAAACCUACGCUUUAGCAGCUUAAUAACCUGCUUAGAGCCCUCUCUCCCUAGCCUCCGCUCUUAGGACGGGGAUCAAGAGAGGUCAAACCCAAAAGAGAUCGCGUGGAUGCCCUGCCUGGGGUUGAAGCGUUAAAACGAAUCAGGCUAGUCUGGUAGUCGCGUGUCCGUCCGCAGGUGCCAGGCGAAUGUAAAGACUGACUAAGCAUGUAGUACCGAGGAUGUAGGAAUUUCGGACGCGGGUUCAACUCCCGCCAGCUCCACCA